UGAACAUGUUGGGAUUUGCUAGGCAUUUCCACUCUGAGAAGCAGAGGGGCCAGCAGAAGGAUCAGUGUAGUAAGUGCAUAUUGGACUGAUGAACGCCAUAUCCCAGCCUCUGAUGGGCAUGAAAAGCAAUGUUCAACAUUUUGCUAAUUUUGCUCUGGGGAUCUUGAGACUCUGGAGCAGCACUGACUUCGACUCACCAAGUCUCUUCUGUACUUCAGGCAAGGUGAGCAUGAUCAGCUAUCUCAUAUACUCAAGGAGCCCUCUCCACAGAGAAGAAGGCAAUUGAAAAUGGGAUGCCAUGAGAUAUCUUAAC
ensembl:lncRNA